AAGGGCAGAGGGAAAGGAAGAAAGCCACAAUUUCAUUGGUCGCGAAUGAACGCGCGUCGACGACCGGUGGUCCGCGGGAGUGUGGGGAUGGCGGUUGAGGGUGACCUGUCCGUCCGGGGGCAGCGGAUCGGCGGUCUGCAGAGCAUCCUGAGUCAGGGCUUCCACAUCUACGGUCAGGGCCCGUGCGAUGAGUGCAGCAACCCUCAGGGAAGUGAAGUCGUGUCCUUGGAGCGGCGACGCACCUUCCUUCGUCGGGGUCAUCCUUUGGCAGGGCAGAGCUGCGGAGGGAGCGCGGUCCGCAGGGGGAGGAGCCUCCCCCCUCCUCCCUCCCUCCCUCCCUUCCUCCCCCCUCCUGCCUCUCCCUACCACCUCCCCUCUCCCACCUCCGCUCCCCUCCCCCUCCCCCCCUCCCCCUCCCCCGGAACCCCAUCACCCGGACCCCUCCCUCACCCCCAGACCCACCGUGUUUCUAUGUACUUUAGAAAAGAAUAUAAUCACAUAACAGGAAUGUCCAAGAUGCAUAUUUAUUAGAACUGCAAUGAUGUUUUCAGUAUGGUUGGUGUCCUGAAUUUGGGAACUAGGCAGAACAAACUUUGUUUUGACUUAAUAGAAGAGUGGUUCAACAGACGUAUUGGUGGAAAGAAUAUUGCACCUCACUUGUUACAAUAUUCCUGUGUUCAAGGCAUUGGGAGUUUCAGAGAAGAAAUUGCAAAAUUUCUUACUGAGUAUGCCAGAGCACCACAAGUACUGAAUUCAGAGAUGGCUACCUGAUUCCAACUCCAUAUUUUGGUGGUGUGAAUCCUGAUAUGUGGCUUUAUGGGGAAGUCCAAGCUGUACAUGUUCAUUUGGAGGAUAUUAGAAGGUGAAGGUUUACCCUUUCAGCUAACAGUGGAAAAACUUGAAGCAGCAAUACAGCAUGCAAAGGAAAAGUGCAUCAGAUCCAGAUAGGAUACACAAUGUGGGGAUUUAGUAAGAAUGGAUAAGCAAAACUUAUCUCCCAACAAAUUGAAGAAGCCUGAGAGAAGCACACCAUAUCAUUGUGGAUGGUCUGGCUGCACUUGGGAUUCCAGUUCUUCAAAGCGCAGCAGGAUUAUUCAUCUGGGUAGACUUUAGAAAAUUAUUGAAAACUCAGACCACAGAAGCUGAGAUGGAUCUCUGGUGGAAACUCAUUAGGCCCUGGCAUUGCUUUUGGCUGUUGUGAACCUGGAUGGUUCAGACUGGUGUUUUCGGAUGCUGUUAAUAGAAUAAAUCUGGGUCAUUAUAUACAUCACAAACAGCAGAGGUCCCAGCACAGAUCCCUGCGGAACGCCGCUAGUCACAGACCUCCAGCUAGAAUCAUCGACCACUACCCUCUGUCUUCUGAGAACAAGCCAAUUCUGAAUCCAAACAGCAAACUCACCUUUGAUCCCAUGUGUCUUAAUCUUCUGGAUGAGCCUCCCAUGAGGGACCUUGUCAAACAUCUUACUAAAUCCACGUAGACAAUAUCCACAGCUCUACCUUCAUCAAUCACCCUCGUCACUUCCUCAAAACUCGAUCAAGUUAGUAAGACACAACUUGCCCUGCACAGAGUCAUGCUAUGGUUUUUCAAAUGUUCCUAAAUCCUAUCCCGAAGAAUCCUCUCCAGUAACUUCCCUAUUACUGAUGUGAGACUCACUGGUCUAUAGUUACUAGGAUAUGCUCUUUAAGACUUUAAAGACUUCAAACUUUGCUGCAUCCUCACCACAAAAUUCAGCAUCAGAAGAUUGCGAAGGAACAUCUAAACAAGCGUGAUGCAUUUUGGAAGCAAGUCCUGUGGACCGAUGAAGUUAAAAUAGAACUUUCUGGCUGCAAUGAGCAAAGGUAUGUUUGGAGAAAAAAGGGUGCAGAAUUUCAUGAAAAAAACACCUCUCCAACUGUUAAGCACGGGGGUGGAUCGAUUAUGCUUUGGGCUUGUGUUGCAGCCAGUGGCAUGGGGAACAUUCCUCUGAUAGAGGGAAGAAUGAAUUCAAUUAAAUACCAGCAAAUUCUGGAAGCAAACAUCACACUGUCUGUAAAAAAAAAAAAGGCAAGCUGAAGAUGAAAAGAGGAUGGCUUCUACAACAGGAUAAUGAUCCUAAGCACACCUCAAAAUCCACAAUGGACUACCUCAAGAGGCAGAAGCUGAAGGUUUUGCCAUGGCCUUCACAGUCUCCUGACCUAAACAUCAUCAAAAAUCUGUGGAUAGAAUAAAGAACAGUGCACGCAAGACAACCCAAGAAUCUCACAGAACUAGAAGCCUUUUGCAAGGAAGAAUGGGCAAAAAUCCCCCAAACAAGAAUUGAAAGACUCUUAGCUGGCUGCAGAAAGCAUUUAGAAACUGUGAUAGUUGCCAAAGGGGGUGUUACUAAGUACUGACCAUGCAGGGUGCCCAAACUUUUGCUUUGGGCCCUUUUCCUUUUUUGUUAUUUUGAAACUGUAAAAGAUGGAAAUAAAAAAGUAAUCUUGCUUAAAAUAUUAAAGACGUGUCAUCUUUAACUUUAUGCCUUUUGGAAAUCAGGUCAUCUUUUACUCGCUUAGCUAUUCACAGUAACAGAAAUUUUGACCGGGGUGCCCAAACUUGCAUGCCACCAUAUUUGGACAGUGACUCUUCAGAGUGGGGAACAGAAUUUUUGCAGAGAACAUCAGAAGCCCAAGCACAAAAGAACACAAUUGCUAAAGUGACAGCUUUCACAUCUGCAACAGGAUUGGGAAUUAUCACCAGUGCAUUGAUAUUAACUACAUUCAAAUAAUAUCUGAUACUUACUGAAAUCAAAAUUUAUGCCUCUUUGAUUUAAUUGUAAAGCUUACUAUGAAGCAAGCCUUAGAUUUUUUUUUCCUCCUUCACUGAAUAGUUACCUGGUAUGAUUUGCUCACAAUAUAUUGUGAGUACAUAGAACAAGUGCUGUACAACCUGGAAUACGUGCCAAUAUGUGCAUAUAUUUAGGUUGGAGUAUCAGCCCAAUGGAGUAACUUUACCAAUCAGCAUAGUUUUUACACUAGUAACACCUUAUUUUGCAUGUAUGCCAGUGUUUAAAUGUUUAUAGGCAAAUGGAGUAUUGCUGGUGUAACCAUUCAAACUCUGAUUUAAUUCUUAAUGGAAGUUUAGAAAUGUAAUAAUUUUGUGACUUGCCUCCUUUUGUGAAAGAUACUUUUUUCCACCUUUAAUUGCAGUGCCCCAAUCCCCUGAAGAUUUGUCUGUCUUCUGCAGUAGGAAUAUGUAAAUAAAGUGAAUCAAA